rnacentral:rRNA from 1 species
AGCAGCCGCGGUAAUUCCAGCUCCAAUAGCGUAUAUUAAAGUUGCUGCAGUUAAAAAGCUCGUAGUUGAAUUUCGGGACCAAUAUGUCGGUCGUGCAUCGGUACGUACUGGCAUCGUUGGUUUCUCCCUUCUGACGAACCAUGAUGUCAUUUAUUUGGUGUCGUGGGGAAUCAGGACUGUUACUUUGAAAAAAUUAGAGUGUUUAAAGCAGGCUCACGCUUGAAUACAUUAGCAUGGAAUAAUGAAAUAGGACGUUUGAUUCUAUUUUGUUGGUUUCUAGGAUCGACGUAAUGAUUAAUAGGGAUAGUUGGGGGCAUUAGUAUUCAAUUGUCAGAGGUGAAAUUCUUGGAUUUAUUGAAGACUAACUACUGCGAAAGCAUUUGCCAAGGAUGUUUUCAUUAAUCAAGAACGAAAGUUAGGGGAUCGAAGACGAUCAGAUACCGUCGUAGUCUUAACCAUAAACUAUGCCGACUAGGGAUCGGAUGAUGCUAAUUUUUUAAUGACUCAUUCGGCGCCUUACG